GAUGAACGCUAGCUACAGGCUUAACACAUGCAAGUCGAGGGGUAGCACGGAGGAAGCUUGCUUCCUUGGGUGACGACCGGCGCACGGGUGAGUAACGCGUAUCCGACCUACCCAUAACACGGGCACAGCCGCUCGAAAGAGUGAUUGAUUCCCGAUAUGUCAUUAGAGUAGAUUUAAUGAUGAAAGAUUCAUCGGUUAUGGAUGGGGAUGCGUAAGAUUAGGUAGUAGGCGGGGUAACGGCCCACCUAGCCGACGAUCUUUAGGGGUUCUGAGAGGAAGGUCCCCCACACUGGUACUGAGACACGGACCAGACUCCUACGGGAGGCAGCAGUGAGGAAUAUUGGUCAAUGGUCGAGAGACUGAACCAGCCAUGCCGCGUGAAGGGUCACGGCCCUAUGGGGUCUUAAACUUCUUUUGUAAGGGAGCAAUAAGUCUCACGUGUGGGAUGAUGAGAGUACCUUACGAAUAAGCAUCGGCUAACUCCGUGCCAGCAGCCG
rnacentral:rRNA from 1 species